rnacentral:rRNA from 1 species
UGGGGAAUAUUGCGCAAUGGGCGAAAGCCUGACGCAGCAACGCCGCGUGAGUGAUGAAGGCCUUAGGGUUGUAAAGCUCUUUUACCAGGGAUGAUAAUGACAGUACCUGGAGAAUAAGCUCCGGCUAACUCCGUGCCAGCAGCCGCGGUAAUACGGAGGGAGCUAGCGUUGUUCGGAAUUACUGGGCGUAAAGCGUACGUAGGCGGUGACUCAAGUCAGAGGUGAAAGCCUGGAGCUCAACUCCAGAACUGCCUUUGAAACUAGGUCGCUAGAAUCACGGAGAGGUGAGUGGAAUUCCGAGUGUAGAGGUGAAAUUCGUAGAUAUUCGGAAGAACACCAGUGGCGAAGGCGGCUCACUGGACGUGUAUUGACGCUGAGGUACGAAAGCGUGGGGAGCAAACAGGAUUAGAUACCCACGUAGUCCCUGAGCGGGCUGGCAAGGCGCAU